CUCGACUGCAUGAAGCUGGAAUCGCUAGUAAUCGCGGAUCAGAAUGCCGCGGUGAAUACGUUCCCGGGUCUUGUACACACCGCCCGUCACACCAUGGGAGUCGGGAAUGCCCGAAGUCAGUGACCCAACCGAAAGGGGGAGCUGCCGAAGGCAGGCCUGGUAACUGGGGUGAAGUCGUAACAAGGUAGC
rnacentral:rRNA from 1 species